GUUAGGAAUAUUGGACAAUGGGCGCAAGCCUGAUCCAGCCAUGCCGCGUGAGUGAUGAAGGCCUUCGGGUUGUAAAGCUCUUUAGUCCACGAAUAUAAUGACUGUAGUGGAAGAAUAAGCCCCGGCUAACUUAGUGCCAGCAGCCGCGGUAAUACGAAGGGGGCGAGCGUUAUUCGGAAUCACUGGGCGUAAAGCGUGCGUAGGCUGUUUUGUAAGUCAGAAGUGAAAGCCCAGGGCUGAACCCUGGAAUUGCUUUUGAAAAUACAAGACUGAAAGUCGGGAUAGGAUAGCGGAAUUGUCAGGGUAGCAGUGAAAUGCGUAGAUAUUGACAGGAACACCAGUGGCGCAAGCGGCUAUCUGGACCGAUAUUGACGCUGAGGCACGAAAGCGUGGGGAGCAAACAGGAUUAGAUACCCUAGUAGUCC
rnacentral:rRNA from 1 species